GAACCUGCGGAAGGAUCAUUAAUGAAACGUAAAGGGCGAGGUUGUAGCUGGUCCCCGAGGGGGCGACGUGCACGCCUCGUUCUCUUCUCUCUCACCCCUGUGCACCUCUGCGUUGGGUCCCGUGCCCACACGUCUUUUUCAUAAAACACACAUGUACUAGAACGUCGCACCUUUUUGUUAUUAUACAACUUUCAACAACGGAUCUCUUGGCUCUCGCAUCGAUGAAGAACGCAGCGAAAUGCGAUAAGUAAUGUGAAUUGCAGAAUUCAGUGAAUCAUCGAAUCUUUGAACGCACCUUGCGCCCCUUGGUAUUCCGAAGGGCACACCUGUUUGAGUAUCGUGAAAUCAUCAACCCUUUUGCUUCGUGUGAAGGGGCUUGGACUUUGGAGGUCUUUGCUGGUCCCCGGGAUCGGCUCCUCUUGAAUGCAUUUAGGUUCCUGCUGUCAGCCCGCCCUUCGGUGUGAUAAUUCAUCCGCAUCGAUCGAGUGUUUGUGAACCAGAGGGACGUUCUCUUUUUGAUCUCAAAUCAGGUGGGACUACCCGCUGAACUUAAGCAUAUCAAUAAGGCCGG
rnacentral:rRNA from 1 species